rnacentral:rRNA from 1 species
GAUGAACGCUGGCGGCGUGCCUAAUACAUGCAAGUCGAGCGAACGGACGAGAAGCUUGCUUCUCUGAUGUUAGCGGCGGACGGGUGAGUAACACGUGGAUAACCUACCUAUAAGACUGGGAUAACUUCGGGAAACCGGAGCUAAUACCGGAUGAUAUUUUGAACCUCAUGGUUCAAAAGUGUAAGACGGUCUUGCUGUCACUUAUAGAUGGAUCCGCGCUGCAUUAGCUAGUUGGUAAGGUAACGGCUUACCAAGGCGACGAUGCAUAGCCGACCUGAGAGGGUGAUCGGCCACACUGGAACUGAGACACGGUCCAGACUCCUACGGGAGGCAGCAGUAGGGAAUCUUCCGCAAUGGGCGAAAGCCUGACGGAGCAACGCCGCGUGAGUGAUGAAGGUCUUCGGAUCGUAAAACUCUGUUAUUAGGGAAGAACAUAUGUGUAAGUAACUGUGAAGAUCUUGACGGUACCUAAUCAGAAAGCCACGGCUAACUACGUG